UCUUAGCCCUGAUGGGAGCGGCAUCCUUUUAUGGCGGUGUUCGCCAUAAAAGAUAUAGCGCACAGCAGGAAUCAGC
rnacentral:sRNA from 1 species